GUCCUGAAUCCAGAGGCACCUUUUUUCGUGAGUGCACUCAGCGAGACAGAUGGACAUCCAGUGGACCUCUAUCCAGUCUCAAACUUGAAUCCAUGGGCACCAGUUUUCCACGGGUAAAUUGUGGCAUCUGUCAGUGUAAAAUGGAUUUUGGAUUCUCCACCCACACUGAAGCAGAGAGGAUGUGGAUGAAUCUCUGUCAUGAGGGAUUUUGGCCACAUUCUCGAGUGCACAUGUGAAAGGAAAGUACUGAC